AGGUGACUUCACCUGAUAAGAAAACUUUCCCCCUGUACCAUUUGAAAGGAGAAGAAGAACUACAACAAUGCCCAGUGCAUGCUAUUGCUCAGCUCUUUGGAUGUCUUUGGAACUGCUGUUUCUGCACCCGGCAUGUGUCAUGUGUGCUUGUGAUAGCGUGUCCCUGUGCAAUCUGCUCACUGAGUCUCCUCUGAGUUCCUUACAAACUGCAAACCACAAUGUUCAGCUGCAACAUCCUUGUCCUUCUGGAAUUAUUGUCCGUCUUAUUCAUGUGAAGACCAGAUGUG